rnacentral:rRNA from 1 species
GAUUAACGCUAGCGGUAUGCAUAAUACAUGCAAGUCGAGCGGGUGUAGCGAUACAUCAGCGGCAAACGGGUGAGUAAUGUGUAUUCAAUCUGCCCUUUAGAGGGGAAUAACUAGUCGAAAGAUUAGCUAAUACCCCACAGGUAACGAGUUCGCAUGAACUUUUUAUUAAAGUUGGGUUUCCAACGCUUUAGGAUGAGAGUGCAAUUUAUCAGAUAGUUGGUGAGGUAAUGGCUCACCAAGUCUAUGACGAAUAGCUAUACUGAGAGGUAGAAUAGCCACAGGGGAACUGAGACACGGCCCCCACUCCUACGGGAGGCAGCAGUAGGGAAUUUUUCACAAUGGGCGAAAGCCUGAUGGAGCAAUACCGCGUGGAUGAUGAAGGUCUUUGGAUUGUAAAAUCCUUUUAUUAGGGACGAACGAGUCUGUUAGGAAAUGAGCAGACAGUGACUGUACCUUUUUGAAUAAGUAACGGCAAACUUCGUGCCAGCAGCCGCGGUAAUACGAAGGUUACAAGCGUUAUCCGGAUUAACUGGGUGUAAAGGGAUGCGUAGGUGGAAGAGUAAGUUUGGUGUUAAAUUUUGCAGCUUAACUGUAAUGUGCAUUGAAAACUACUUUUCUAGAGUGUGUUAGAGAGUUUUAGAACUCCAUGUGGAGCGGUGGAAUGCGUAGAUAUAUGGAAGAAUACCGGUGGCGAAGGCGAAAACUUAGAACAUUACUGACACUUAGGCUCGAAAGUGUGGGGAGCAAAUAGGAUUAGAUACCCUAGUAGUCCACACCGUAAACGAUGAUCAUUAGAAAUUUGUACGUUGGUACAAGUUUUGUAGCUAACGCGUUAAAUGAUCCACCUGAGUAGUACAUCCGCAAGAAUGAAACUCAAACUGGAAUUGACGGGGACCUGCACAAAUGGUGGAGUAUGUUGUUUAAUUUGUCAGCACACAAAAACCUUACCAGGGAUCGAUCCUAGGCAAAACGUUGGAAACAACGCGGAGGUUAACCUAGAGACAGGUGGUGCAUGGCUGUCUUCAGCUCGUGUCGUGAGAUGUCGGGUUAAGUCCCUUAACGAGCGAAACCCCUAUCACUAGUUGCCAGCGUGUCAUGGCGGGGACUCUAGUGAGACUGCCGAUGUUAAAGAGGAGGAAGGUGGGGAUGACGUCAAGUCCUCAUGGCCCUUAUGCCUAGGGCUGCACACGUCCUACAAUGCCACACACAGAGGGAUGCGAACUCGCGAGAGCAAGCUAAUCCCAAAAAAUGUGGCCCAGUUCGGAUUGAAGUCUGAAAUUCGACUUCAUGAAGUCGGAAUCGCUAGUAAUCGCGGGUCAGCAUACCGCGGUGAAUGUGUUCCUGAGCCUUGUACACACUGCCCGUCAAGCCACGAAAGUGGGGGGCAUCCGAAGUCGCUGAGGUAACCUUUAUUGGAACCAAGUGCCGAAGAUGAACUCCGUGAUUGGGACU